CUUAGCGGCGGACGGGUGAGUAACGCGUGGGUAACCUGCCUCAUACAGGGGGAUAACAGUUGGAAACGGCUGCUAAUACCGCAUAAGCGCACAGUACCGCAUGGUACCGUGUGAAAAACUCCGGUGGUAUGAGAUGGACCCGCGUCUGAUUAGGUAGUUGGUGGGGUAACGGCCUACCAAGCCGACGAUCAGUAGCCGACCUGAGAGGGUGACCGGCCACAUUGGGACUGAGACAUGGCCCAA
rnacentral:rRNA from 1 species